rnacentral:sRNA from 1 species
AUCUACCGCGGCGAAUCUAUCUAUUGCUGCCAACCAACCUACCUACCACUGCCAACCUAUCUAUCGCUGCCAAUCUAUCGCUGCCAAUCUAUCGCUGCCAAUCUAUCGCUGCCAACCUAUCUACUGCAGUGAAUCUAUCUAUCACUAUCAUUACUAGUUCAAAAUAGAACUAGAGCAUAAAUACAUUAAACUUCUUUUGAUAGGUAAUGAUUUUUGGUAACACUCAUAGCAUUAUAUCAUCUAUAUAGGGUAAAUCAUGGUCCCAUUUGGUCCCAUUUUAACAAAAUGGGACCAAAUGGGACCAGAAUCAGUAAUUUAUAAGAAGAACAUGAUCUGGGACUAGAUUUAUAAUAUAAACAGUGUAAAGUGACUAAUUUAAUAAACACUAUAUGUGAUCAGAACUAAGAAAUUUGAU